UACGAACGCUGGCGGCGUGCCUAACACAUGCAAGUCGAACGGGGUGAUGACUUCGGUUAUUACUUAGUGGCGAACGGGUGAGUAACGCGUGAGAAACCUGCCUUUCAGUGGGGGACAACAGUUGGAAACGACUGCUAAUACCGCAUAACGCAGCGAGACCGCAUGGUCUUGCUGUCAAAAGCUUUAUGUGCUGAGAGAUGGCCUCGCGUCUGAUUAGAUAGUUGGUGAGGUAACGGCCCACCAAGUCGACGAUCAGUAGCCGGUCUGAGAGGAUGAACGGCCACAUUGGGACUGAGACACGGCCCAGACUCCUACGGGAGGCAGCAGUGGGGAAUAUUGGGCAAUGGGCGCAAGCCUGACCAGCAACGCCGCGUGAAGGAAGAAGGC
rnacentral:rRNA from 1 species